rnacentral:lncRNA from 1 species
CUUGAUUGCCCUGGUGGUGUUUACCUCACAAAUGCUGCCUAAUUCAGGCCAGAGGGAAGGCAGAGCCAGUGAAAAGAGCUCCACGGGCUAGAAGAGGGUGGACCCAGGAAGAGAUGGCCUCCCCCUGUCCCUGACUCAACUGGAGCUCAGUUCACUCUGCUUUGAAGGAGUAGGAGGAGAACACUACUCACAAAAAGGAGGGCAAGAACCGGCUUGUUCACCAUUGUAUUCCUGCACCACAGCAUAAGCACUCAAUCAUUAUGGGUUAAAGGCUGAAAUUCAAAAAGAGAAAGGGAGAUGUUAGACACCUACUGACCAAGGAGGUGCCCUCCAUUCUGCUUAACCACCGCCCAGGCCAGUCAUUUCUCUCCCUGGAAGACUUUGAGUCAUGCACGCGCAAGGAAAAUUAGAGACAGGGUUUCACCAUGUUGGUCUCAAACUCCUGACCUCAAGUGAUCCACCUGCCUCAGCCUCCCAAAGUGCUGGGAUUACAGACGUGAGCCACUGCCACACAGCCGAAUAAAGGACAAGAGUAGCAAAGAGGAUUAUGAGCAGUGCAAUACAAAACAAGGCUGCAACAAAAGGGCCACAGAAACCUGGAAUCAUUUUGGAAAUCAGUAUACCAUCUUGAAACCAAAAAUGUCUCCAUAAAUAUGAAGGCAAUAGCAAUGCCGUCACUGAGUCUGCCAUGAAGUCAGAAUGCCAAAUGAAGACUAUAAAACUUGGAUUUGCUUGCAGAGUUUCCACUGAAAUUCGAAUUCUUGAUACCUGUUAUGGACUGAAUUGCAUGCCCCCAAAAUGAAUAUGUUGAAGUUCCAACCUCAGUACCUCCAAAUCUCACAAUAUAUGGAGAUAAAGUCUUUAAAGAGGUCAUUAGGUUAAAAUCAGAUGUUUAAAGGGUGCUUACCCAAUAUGACUUGGGUCCUCAUAAAAAGAAGAAAUUUCAACAAAACAUGCAUGAACAGAGAACAGGCCAUCUGAGGACACAGCAAGAAGUUCAUCUGCAAGCCAAGCAGAGAGGCCUCAGAAUAGACCAAACCUACUGACACCUUCAACUUGGACUUCUAGCCCUCAGAACUGUGAGAAAAUACGUUCGUAUUGUUUAAGCCAUCUUGUCUGCAGUGUUUUGUUAUGGCAGCCCUGACAAACCAAUAGAAUAUCCAUACUCAUAAAGUUUUUCAUUGUUGCUGUGUCAAAUAAUUAUACCCAUUUCCAACUCAUGGUCCCCAAAACUUGUCACUUCAACCAAAACCAGGUGAGAUAUAAAAGGGAAUUACACAUUCAGUUGGAAGGAGAUACAUACAGAAAACCCCUUAAAAACCGGGAUCUUUUUUCUAUUCAUAUCUUUCAUAAUAGUGAAUCAGAAAAAGGUAAAUUAAAGGUUGUUUGGGAAAUUGACAGAUCUUUCUUUGGUAUGAUACCAGGCUCAAGAUCCUGUGCUUGUCAGACUAAGACUAAGAUUGUACUACCUUUUUACUCCAUGUGUUAUAUCCUGAAAAAAAUUCCAAGUCCAGGGAAAAACUUGAUAAAUAGAAGAAUGAAAAUGUGCUGUCCAAAAUAUGUAAAAAUACCACAAAACAGAUUGUAGAGUAUUGUCUAUAGCCAUUUAACUUGCAUGUGUGAUAAAGAGUAUCAUCCAAAUAUAACCUUAUGAAAUUUUUUUUAACUUCUAGAAGUCAAAAAGUACCCAAACACACACACAUACACACAAACUUAUGCUUUGUAGACGGGAGGGAGGUUUGCCAUAUGUGCGACAAACCGAAGGUUAAAUCCUUAUUACCUAAAACACAGCUUAUAAAUUCAUAAGAAAAAGAUAACUUAUCAUAAUAAAUGAAUAAUAUUAAGCAAUUCACAAAACAAGAAAUUCAAAUGUUCUACUAACUUUUUAUUCUUUUAUUCAUUCAAUCAAUAUCUAUUGGGCAUUUGGUAUGUGCUCAGCAUAAUACAAGACACCAGGUACAUGGUGAUGAGCAAAAACUGGCCCUUCUCUGUAAUUAUUCGCAAUAUAAUAUUAAACCCAACUUACAAUAAAAGAAAUUCAAAAUAAAAUGGUGCCAGGGAAUAAUCAGACAAGUGUAGAAUUGCAUACAAAAAUAUUAAUUGAGCUAUUAUAAUAAGGAAAACUUGAAACUACCUUAAUGUUUAUUAAUUCACUGUAAGUUAAAUAAAUGGAUAUAGACACUAAAUUUGUCCCUAAAAAUAUGUAAUGUCAUUGGACAAUUCCCACUGCAAAAUAUGAUGGAAAAAAGCAUGUGAUACUGAUGUUUAGAUAUAUGCAAAUUUCAUAUUUUCUACAGUAAAAGUAUUAUUCUAAUAAUUAAGGAAAACGCUUUUUAAACAACCAACAUGAAUGCUUUUGACAGGGAUGCCAUCGUGUAAGUUAAUUGCCAAAUAAACUAAAUAAACUUUUUUUUUUACUAUUAUUCUUCAGUUGACAAAUAAAAACUGUAUAAUUUACAUUGUAUGACAUAAUGUUUUGAAAUAUACAUAAAUAUGCUUUCUUGGAUGCUCACAAUUUGGGUACACUUUGGAGCAUACUGGAAAAUGCUCCUAACGUUGGAAGCAACACAGUCCCCUUACUUGAGCGAUAAAAUGUUACUUUGUUCCUUAAAUUAAAGAAAGGUUCGAAGUUUAGUUUGACAUUCACCUCUGCCUUUAUAAAACAAACACAGCCUAUAAAAUAACUUAAACGCCCAGAGUGCCGAGUUUCGUCGGGCCCUGGCUGCGCCGGGCCGAGCCCUGCCCCGCGGAGGUCGCCGCCCAGCACGGUCUGCAGAUGGCAGCCUCUCGCGGAAAGCCCCGCAACGCCGCUUCC